rnacentral:rRNA from 1 species
CCUACGGGAGGCAGCAGUGAGGAAUAUUGGUCAAUGGACGAGAGUCUGAACCAGCCAAGUAGCGUGAAGGAUGACUGCCCUAUGGGUUGUAAACUUCUUUUAUAUGGGAAUAAACUGUUCCACGUGUGGGUUUUUGUAUGUACCAUAUGAAUAAGGAUCGGCUAACUCCGUGCCAGCAGCCGCGGUAAUACGGAGGAUCCGAGCGUUAUCCGGCUUUAUUGGGUUUAAAGGGUGCGUAGGUGGUUGGAUAAGUCAGUUGUGAAAGGUAGAGGCUCAACCGUGAAAUUGCAGUUGAUACUGGUAGGAUUGAGAACAGUAGAGGUGGGCGGAAUGCGUGGUGUAGCGGUGAAAUGCUUAGAUAUCACGAAGAACACCGAUUGCGAAGGCAGUUCACUGGACUGCAACUGACACUGAGGCUCGAAAGUGUGGGGAUCAAACAGGAUUAGAUACCCGAGUAGUC